rnacentral:lncRNA from 1 species
CAGCUGACAGGUAGAAGGUGAAGGCUGUGACUGCAUUACUGCUGCCUCGCCGCUCCUCUCGCUCUGCACCCUUAACUCACUGUACCCCCACUGCAGUGACACGUGUCAGGAAGGUCUGCCCCGUAUCCGCUAAAGAGGACAGGUAUUUUCACACAGAGGACAGAGGAUGUGAUUCUGAAGUACUGUACACCACACCGUUCACUCCGGCACAGUGGACAUUCUUUGUGUGGGACUUUAUAUACAUUUGGAUUCUUGCCAUGUUUAUUUAUUUCAUAAGUGGGCUCUGCAGAAGGACGGCCUAUGACUGGAUGCACACCACCCCUGCUGCGCUCCCCUAUGGAUUUCAUAUUUCUCUUAUAGUAAAUCUGGGCCUCAACAUCACCUUUUUGUUCCUUUUCGACAGAGAGUUGCUGUUCCCUGUACUGGUCACCUCUGGGCUCAUGACCGCCACGGACUACGCCAUCCUGUUCUUCUCCUGCCGCGGAUUGAAGACCUACGGUGCGUGGCUCAACAAGUAUCACAGGAUAGACCUCUGGCUCUACAGGAUACUGGUGCAGAAUGGAGUUGCGGUGUACGCCACGUGGGGGACUCUCUCCACUCUGCUCAACCUGACCAUGUACCUGCAGCACCAGACUGGGACGUCCCGCUGCGACUGUGCCACCGUGGCCCGGCUGCUGGUGCUCAUGGGGAUCUUUGUCUGGUUUUUAAUUGAGAACUUCUACUUUGAUGAGCAUGUGCGCUACAUCUUAACAAUAUACCCCGUCAUCAUCCUGUGGUUAAGCGGAAACGUCACCAAUUUGCAUCCUGGCACCCAGAACUUUUUCUUUGGAGUUUUCAGCCUUUUGAUCAGCUGCGUCUUGUUUUUGACCCGUGUCGUCCUAGUUUCAUGGAGGCACCACAAAAGACCCUUGUACAGCGACAGUGAACCCAACAUGUCUCCGGUGGAAAUAGCACUGUCGCAAAGCAAACUCUUUCUAUAAGCGUCGCAUAGUUACAUUUGUGAUUUGUAAAUUAGUGCAAAUACUGCACAUUGAUGUAUUAAUUAUUUGUAGCUGGUAUUGUGGGUUUUUUUGCGCAAAUGUAUGUUUGUUGGUUACUGCACAAUAGGAAAAUAAACUGUAGGUCAAAUAAAUUGAUAUGAUAUAUACUGAUAUUGAUUCAACAUGAAUAAUACACCAAGACCUAGGUCUCAAAAGAAUGGAAC